rnacentral:rRNA from 1 species
CCUACGGGUGGCAGCAGUGAGGAAUAUUGGUCAAUGGACGCAAGUCUGAACCAGCCAUGCCGCGUGCAGGAAGACGGCUCUAUGAGUUGUAAACUGCUUUUGUACGAGGGUAAACGCAGAUACGCGUAUCUGUCUGAAAGUAUCGUACGAAUAAGGAUCGGCUAACUCCGUGCCAGCAGCCGCGGGAAUACGGAGGAUUCAAGCGUUAUCCGGAUUUAUUGGGUUUAAAGGGUGCGUAGGCGGUCGGAUAAGUUAGAGGUGAAAUCCCGAGGCUCAACUUCGGAAUUGCCUCUGAUACUGUUCGGCGAGAGAGUAGUUGAGGUAUGCGGAAUGUAUGGUGUAGCGGUGAAAUGCUUAGAGAUCAUACAGAACACCGAUUGCGAAGGCAGCUUACCAGGCUACUUCUGACGUUGAGGCACGAAAGCGUGGGGAGCAAACAGGAUUAGAUACCCUGGUAGUC